GAUGAACGCUGGCGGCGUGCCUAAUACAUGCAAGUCGAACGCAUUGUGGUUGAAAUGAUAUGAAGAACUUGUUCAGAUUUGAUUUUCAACAUUGCAAUGAGUGGCGAACGGGUGGGUAACACGUGGGAAACCUACCUCUUAGCAGGGGAUAACAUUUGGAAACAAAUGCUAAUACCGUAUAAUAAUUAAAACCGCAAUGGUUUUAGUUUAAAAGAUGGUCUUGCUAUCACUAAGAGAUGGUCCCGCGGUGUAUUAGUUAGUUGGUGAGGUAAUGGCUCACCAAGACAAUGAUACAUAGCCGAGUUGAGAGACUGACCGGCCACAAUGGGACUGAGACACGGCCCAUACUCCUACGGGAGCAGCAGUAGGGAAUCUUCCACAAAUGGACGAAAGUCUGAUGGAGCAACGCCGCGUGUGU
rnacentral:rRNA from 1 species